UGAAGUAGAUAUCAGAUUUCGAAGCUUCCAAGAUGAUUUCUUCGUUUUAGGUUCUCGGUUGGAUUCACUUCUGCAGCCCAAACCUCUCAGCUUCGAAAGGCGCUUCCUUUAUAAGAUUCCGAAGGUAUAAUUAAGUGCAUCCAUCUCCAGUGGCAGGUAAAUGUCAAUAGAAUUUCUCUUGAUUGGUAAUCUUUUUGGGGUCCUUUAGGUCAGGGCUUGAUUUGUAUUAUUGUAUAUCAAUUGGAAGGUUUAAGAACUAAACCAUUCACCAAAUAGAUGGGUAGUUCAGUGUUGAUUUAGUAUGAAGGUCGAAUAAUGUGAGAGACAUGUAAAGAUUCAAAUUCAAUGUAGUUAUCUUUUCUUUCAAAAAGGCUAUUGCCAUUUUUCCAAUCACAUAGUCAUGUAAAUAAUAUGAAGAAUUCAGCUUCAAUACUGCACUUGAUUGAAACAUACUCCGCUUGAUGAGGUUAUAGAAUUAUGGAGAAACCCUUUCUUUUACCAUGUUAUAAAGAAUGAUUUUUUGGGGUUUUUUCACAAUUUUCGGCUGUUUAAUUAUCUGACACUUAAUUACAUUGCUUUCUGAUCUAUAAUUUUUGGUUACUGAUCCGUUAAAUCAGAAAGGGGUUAUGCUACUCAAUGUGAUAAACAAAAAAUGAGUCCAAGCUUUGUGAAUACAUUCUUGCUAUUUGCGAUGGAUUUAAAGGUAUAAUAUUAAUUUGAAUUCCAUUUUUCAUUUACUUUUGUGAUUGUGAUUUCUUUUUGGAAGUUAAUGAUUUAGGGUAUGUACUUCGGGGAUAUAGAUGAUCAAAUGACUGUAUCGAUCAUCAGGGAAUUUGUGUACAAAGCCGUGCAUUGGAUGCAAGUGAUUGUAUCGGUAAUAGAUGCAAGUCUCUCCAAAUCUGAAUUUUUGGAAUGUAGUUACUCUUACAUUUAAGCACUUCGCUGGGUAAUCUUUACAAGCUUCUCAGUUUCUCAGUGUACUUACAACAAAUUGACGGAUAUUUAUUCACAAUCUAAGCUAAAUUUACUCAUUUUGGUGUUUUAAUCUAAAUUUUCUAGAUUCUAUGACUGCUUGAUUUUGGUCAGAAUGGCAUGGCUUAUGACUGCCAGUGUGUUCUGUGAAGUAUUUUGUCAUUGGAUCUUCUUUAAAAUAAUCCGAACUGCACAUGAAACAUAAAUAUAUAUAGCUAUUCUGUUGCCAAAAGACUUUUGUGUUAUUAAUUACAAUCGGAAAUAAUUGUGUACAUUUCUUGCCAACGACAUCUUUCAUGAUUAGCUCUGCAUCUUUCAUGAUUAGUUUUACCUGUUUGCUAACAAAUUUCUUCCCAACGGUCGUGUGAAGGAGUGCUGAAUUUAAUGUUUACAUCUUAGCUGAGCAUAAUUCGCAAUGGUUUUUCAGAUUUGAUCCUGAAUCAGGAAAGACAAAGGUGGUAUGAUGGGGUUAAUCCACCUACUAGAUCACCAGUAUUGGUGUUUAUAUCAGCUCUAAGAACCAAAUUGUGUCUUGGAAAAGCAAGGAUGCAGGAUUGAUAUUACAACUCGGCAGCCUGAUGAGAUGAGUAAUGGGAAAAAGGUUCUUAAAUUUUGGAAUUUUGGGUUUUGCUUGGAACUUUGAGUUUGGUCGAAGCGGUAAUAGAUGUUGAGAAGUUUGUACAAAGUCUACAAUGUGAGAGCAAAAGGAGAGAAAUAUGGAAAUGUUUUAUUGUUUACUUUUCUCAAGUACUCGAGAAGAAUUCAAGCACCAAGUCUACCAGAGAGAAAAAAAUGUGAUUUGCUUACAAGUUCGUCAUUUUCAUCUUCUACCUCCUCCUAUAAAGUGUACAUAUGCUCAUUUGUGUAUCUCUGCCUUCAUUUUUCUCUCUUUGUUCUUUGCCUUUUAUCAUUCCCAAAAGGGGGAGUUUAGGUGGAUUAGGCAUUCUCCUUGCUCACCCUCUGUUUAACUUUGUAACUGUGCCAAUCUACCUUGAAGAGUCAUUUGACAAUGAAUUUUGAUGAUGCAUUGCUAGACUUUAAAUCAA